AACCAACUUUGGGCUCCAACAACCUCUUCGAUUACAAACUACAGCGAAAAUCACCUUCGAUAAUCAACUUCAACGGCCACCUCCAACUAUUAUAAGACCGAUUGCAUCUUAACAUUCCCACCACAGUCUAGGAAAAGUGUUUACCGGCGUUCUGCAUUCGUAUUGACAAAUGGACUGCAGUUGAAAAUUCGUAAUCAAGUAAAGUAAUCUGAAUGACGAGCAUGAGGUGAUCAAUUGAAUUGCGUCUGAAAAUUACGUUGUAUCGUUAUUGUUAUCAUUAUGAUUAUGGUUAUGAUUACCAUUAUGGCUACUAUUUAGAAGGAAAACUAUGAAUUUUGAUACAUUUACUUAUCAUUACCAUCACCGUUACUUUUUGGCUCUUAAAGUAAAGAUAAUCGUAACGGUAACAAUAAAUUUGAC